rfam:Salmo salar isolate Sally breed double haploid chromosome ssa07, whole genome shotgun sequence.
AUCGCUGCUCUGCCAUGUGGAUAAGAUCAAGUGUAGUAUCUUCUUAUCAAUUUAAUAUCUGAUAUGUCCCCCAUUGGUGGACUACAUAUUCAAUACUCCCG